rnacentral:rRNA from 1 species
GACGAACGCUGGCGGCGUGCUUAACACAUGCAAGUCGAACGGAAAGGCCCUGCUUUUGUGGGGUGCUCGAGUGGCGAACGGGUGAGUAACACGUGAGUAACCUGCCCUUGACUUUGGGAUAUCUUCAGGAAACUGGGGCUAAUACCGGAUAGGAGCUCCUGCUGCAUGGUGGGGGUUGGAAAGUUUCGGCGGUUGUGGAUGGUCUCGCGGCUUAUCAGCUUGUUGGUGGGGUAGUGGCUUACCAAGGCUUUGACGGGUAGCCGGCCUGAGAGGGUGACCGGCGACAUUGGGACUAAGGUACGGACCAGACUCGUAUGGGAGGCAGCGGUGGGAAAUAUUGCACAGUGGGCGGAAGCCUGAUGCAGAGACGCCCGGUGCGGGAUGUCGGCCUACGGGUUGUGAACAGCUUUCGCCUGUGACGAAGCGGGAGUGACGGUAAUGGGUAAAGAAGCACCGGCUAACUACGUG